CAGAGUUGCAAAACUCCCUAAACCCACUGUGAACCUACCUUUAGUUGUUCUUCGGCAGGCGGCCCCAGGGCGGGGCUGUUAGCCUUUCAGGUGCCUGCCGGAGGGCCACCAAACUCUUUGUUUUAGUGGUAUCUCUGAGUGCUAUAAGCGAAAUAAUCA
rnacentral:misc_RNA from 1 species